ACAUAUAUAGGGAGAAUUCACAAAAGAACAAGAGACGAAGACAGAUGAGAUGGUGUAGAAAACAAAUAGAUGUAUUAGUAUAACGCUCGGGAAUUGAAAAAAGUAUUUAAUGUUUCGAUCAUACGCUCUUCCACAAAAGGAACACAGGAAGAAACAAGUAGAGAAAAAAUAGAAUGUGUAAUAUAUAUAUAUAUAUAAUAUAGGGGAAAUAUACAGAC